CUGCCAUAUCAAGUUGGCAUACCGUUUCUCGUACGAAUCACUGAAGUUAAGCAACGUUGAGUCUGGUCAGUACUCAGACGGGUGACCGAUUAGGAAUAUCAGGUGCUGUAA